CAGUGGUCACACCAGCUGGCUAAUCACUGACAAGUGGUUUCUAUCAUUGCCACAAAGACAAGCUUGAAGGAAGUAUUUAAAGUGGAAGUGAGGAUUUUUUAAGAGUUGUAGCAAGGAUUUUUUAGAGUUGUUUUCACACAGAAAUGGGAAUGUGAGAAAAUGACAUUGUUUGUGUGAAAAAUGCAACAAACAAGGCAAUCAGAAGCCAGGAUUCCAGCCAACACAGCAAGAACCUAUAAAAAUGACAACUUAUACCCUCCGGAAAAGUGAUGAAAGAACAAAACAAAGGGACACCAAUUCUCUACAACCUGAAGUUCAGCACUAAAUAUAACAAGGCAUUAUCCACUACUACUGCUGCAGUUACACAGGAAUCUAUACUGAAUAUCCUGUAGUCCUCAGAGCUGACUAGAGACUCUGCACGCAUUUACAUGGUGAUCCUUUCUAAGAGACUUCUAGCAAGAUGCAGCUGAAGAUUCAGAUAACCAACUAGUUAUUUAUAAAAUAAGUGUCUACAAAUGAAAUGUGUGUUUAAGUUCCUAUUAUACUCAAUAAAGAUUUAAUAGAUAUAAUUGGUGGAGCCUACAAAACAAUUUUGCUCUCCUUAAAUUAGGUAACCAGUAGAAAAUACCAGUUUCCUAUACACAGGAAUCUAGUGCCAUUUGAGUUACCCUAAGAUGUCUACCAGCUGGUAUUACAGAAGAUAAACAGCAGAUGAUCGAUUUGUGGACUGACAGCUAGAGGCCAAAUUCAGAUUCACCCUGUGCACAGGCCACUGAAUCCCUCUAGUGAGAGAUUCAGAUGACAGAAAAUAGGCAUUUAGUGCUUUUUGUAUUGCUGUACCUGUCCCCAUCUCCUGCCGAAGAAAGAUUCAGAUAUCACUUAAAUCUGAUAUUUUUAAUGCCUUUAUAUAUGACUUGGGCUUCUUUGGGAGUCACAGCAGGGGCUAGAUGGCCAUGUGUGGGCAAGUAAUCAAAUUAGCUGAAUCAGUCUCUAGCGUCCUUUAAAUGCAUAGUUAAAGUCCACUGCCUAUAAAAUAUUCAGGUGCAUGAAUAUAAAAAUGUAGGUUGAGCCAUAAACCCUAUACUGUAAACACUUAGAUGUGAUAAUCUUAAACAAAUCUAAGUGUGUCUGUAUCUGGAGUAGAGUACUCCUUUCUUCUUCCUGUCUUUCACACAAACACCCUUCCAUGGAUGGCCUUGAAAAGAGACAUCUGACAGUAUUCCAGUGACUGCAUUAAGCCGUGUAUGCUGUAGAGCACGCAUCUCCUACAUGGAGGUCUUUAUAUCUAAGAAAAAAUAAGAUCCAUUCAUAUGUUUUUAAGAAUGCAAAAGAUUCACAAAGAACUAAGAAUUGAAGGCUAAAUCUUAUGAGGAUAGAAUUUGACCUCUGGAUGUGACAUAAGUUUUCCACCUAAAAAAAAGUGAUGCUUUCUGUGUAAGUGCUCCUUUUGACUCAUGAUACAUCUCUGGCAACUUCUGUUGUAAGAUAUGAGACAAGAAAUAAAAGUAAUUGAACACAUCAACAUGUAAUAGAAGAAAAAAAUCUUCAGAGUUAUCUAAUUUUCUUGAGGAAGCUCUCUUAUCUAAAAAUGUGUCCGGGAUAUUAUCUUCAUUGUUUAUAGUUCCUGUAGUAACAAUAGGUAACUUCAGAGUUAUAGGUCUAGAGCUGAAAUGUUUUUGGUGUUUUAACAAAUGUGUAUAAUACAAAGAAUUUACAUUGCUGAAUCCACAAACUCAGCUGUGCAAGAGACUGCCAAACAGACAGAUUUCCUUUAGCUUAUGCAGUAUACAAAAUGCAUUUUAAAGAUUUCAGUCAACUUAAGUUAACUGUUGUGAAUUAUUUGCUGCUUCUUUAAACUACUUAUUUUCUAUUUCCCACAGCUGUGAUACAAAUUACCUUAUUUUGUAGCUUACUGGUUUUGGUCCUCAGCUUUCUGAAUCUCUUUUUCUGGGAACAACAUAAGUGAUUUUAUGUUAUUGAUUCCCCUCUUCCAGAGAAGAGAGAAUUAAUGUUUUUUGUUGUGUGUGGUUGGGGUUUUGUGUUUGUUUUUUUUUUCUUUGCCAGAGAUUUCAGCGAUGUGUUAACUAUAAUCUGGAAUGCAAAGUAAUAAUAUGCGACAAAAUUUAAUCAUGGUCAUAAUUAAAAUGCUCUAAAUGAUGGAUAAAGCUCACACACUCCUGGAGCCUCUUAUUUUGUUAAUCUGCUCUUAAUGAACAGCUGUGUUUGUUUCGAGUCAAAUAUUAGAUGUGUAAACACUUCUUUAAGUUUUAUUUAAAACUGUGCAAGGUCAUUUUGGAUACCUUUCAGACUGGUUUUUAACUGAGCCAUAAUUUGGUGUGUUAAUUUUUUGUGGCACAAGAAGAUGUAGCUACAGGUUGGACGGCCUUAAAAAUAAGAUAGCGAAUUGGCCUGAGUUUCUCCAACUGAUUUCUCCUUUUAAUGUUUCCAGUUAGGAUAUAUUUUUGUUUUACUUUGCAGCUAAAUGAAGUAGAAGGAGCAGGAGUGAUCUAAUUUAAGUUUACCUGAGAUACUCAGGCGAGAUAGUGAGUUGUUACCAACAACCAACCUUGCAGGGAGCCUGCUGCCUUUCCAGUAGAUGCCAAUACAGGUUUUCAUCUGUAAACUGAUAUUCAUGUUUCUGCAUGGCGCAGCACAGAGUCAUAAAGAUUUUGCCAUCCAGCCUGCAAACGGAAAUAGUUCCCAUGACUAAACACAUCAUUCCUAGCAGAAUUUGGAAGCACUUAGCAUUUAAACCCAUCUCACUGGCGAAACUACAUUAUCUGUAAAGAAAAAUAAGUAAUUAAGAACCUUGAUUAUUAAUGUCAAAUACUAAGUCCUUGGUCCCUUCCUAGCUAAUUGGCACAGCUAAUAAACACAGACAGUAACAAACUAAAUGGGCAGAGUAAAUCCUUUUCCGUUCUCACUGUGCAGGCCAUGUGGUGAAGAGUCUUAUGACCUAUGGCUUUGAAUCUUUAGUUCCCUUUGCUCUCUGCUCCCCUGCCACCGUACUGGCUUCAUAUCCAUCACCGGCACCUCACAACAGCUUUUCUGUGUUUCUCCAAAAUUAUUGUGUGACUGAAGAGUUUUUUGUGGAGCCAAAGAAAAUUAGUGAUUUCAUCAUCAUGGCA